AACGAACGCUGGCGGCAUGCCUAACACAUGCAAGUCGAACGAGACCUUCGGGUCUAGUGGCGCACGGGUGCGUAACGCGUGGGAGCCUGCCCUUAGGUUCGGAAUAACUCCCCGAAAGGGGUGCUAAUACCGGAUAAUGUCUUCGGACCAAAGAUUUAUCGCCUUUGGAUGGGCCCGCGUUGGAUUAGCUAGUUGGUAGGGUAAAAGCCUACCAAGGCGACGAUCCAUAGCUGGUCUGAGAGGAUGAUCAGCCACACUGGGACUGAGACACGGCCCAGACUCCUACGGGAGGCAGCAGUGGGGAAUAUUGGACAAUGGGCGAAAGCCUGAUCCAGCAAUGCCGCGUGAGUGAUGAAGGCCUUAGGGUUGUAAAGCUCUUUUACCCGGGAUGAUAAUGACAGUACCGGGAGAAUAAGCACCGGCUAACUCCGUG
rnacentral:rRNA from 1 species